CUUUAAACAAAGACCAAGAACAUAACUUAGAAGUCUAGUCUUCCUUUCCAGCUAACAAUCACUUGUACGCAGACAAGAACUCAGUUGACCAAUGAUACAAGCUAAUUAAUAUAUCCACAACCUUUCAGACGGCAGAAGAGCAGAAUUUUCAGAUCCCAUUAUAUGGGCUCCUCUCUAACAAAAUGUAAACAGCAAGUGGCUCAAAAACUGAUGUUUCAUUUUCUGGGGGCGGUCUCAACUGAGCAGGUUCAUGUUUGAUCAGUCUUGGUUCAAACUGACUCAAGCUCGGCCUCAAACUGAAGUUCGUGUCCUGGUUUGGUGAACUUCCUGUCUUUCACUCUCUAGUUUUCUUGAGUUUUCGGCAUAAUCAUGUCAUCUGUUGUUAGCUCUAGAGAUGCAUUGACCAUUCAACAAAUUAUCGCCUCAAUUCCGGAUUUGAUUGAUCUUGUUUCCGCUGCCAAGUCAUCAAUUCCUUUGCUCCCACAAUUAAAUACCGAUAACUCAAUCACCACCACUACUCUUGAUGCUCCCGCGCCCCCCCCCGCCACCACCAGCAGCAACGUUAAUGACAACAAUAUUGGCAGUAACACCACCACUUCCAUAUCCACACCAGGAAACAGAAAUAAUACUACAGCUGCCACAGCAACCGCCACCGCCCUCUCCAUCUCCACCUCUGGCCCGGCUCCUUCUCUGGCCUCUGCCCUUGACUCCGGCUCCGGCUCCCGCUCCGGCUCUACCAGCACCUCCACAACUACUGAAGGCGGCUGCAACAGCGACGGCAACACCACAACCAGCAAUAAUGCUAAUAUCAAGGACAAGAACAUCACGGCCGAUGUUGGCAAUGAUGGCAGUGUGAAUUCUGAAGGUGAAAGCAACCAAAAACUGCAUAAUCAGUUGGAGAAAUUGACCAGAGAUUUAUACUAUGUUCAAAGCGCCUGUGACAAACUCAAACAUCUAGAACUACAUGUUGGCAACCAAUUCAAGAGUCUUCAAAGACAAGGUGAAUUCCUGCAGGGUGUCUUAAGGAAUUUAGAACGAGUACGAAAUGGCACCACCGGUAAUCAUGCCAUCCUAACCAAGCAAAUGCAACUUAACAUUAAGUUAAUUGCUGGGAUGGUAAUGGAGUUGAAGUAUCACAUACCGUCACCAUACAAGCUGAAUUUGGCCAAUGAAGUACUCAAGUCGCAAAAUGUUAGUGGGGGAGAUUCCCUGAAUUUGAUCGAUGAGAUUCUUAAAAUACGCGGUAACAAAGCAUUUGAAGGGUGUUCAUCUUUUGUAGAUUUUAAAGAGAGUUAUAACAGUCUUGAUUUAAGAGAUAAGCUUUGUUUGUUGUGUUUCUCAGUGUUUCCUGAGAAUUCUGUUGUCAAGAAGAGAUUGCUGAUGUAUUGGUGGGUUGGAGAGGGUUUCAUAGACCCAAAAGUUGAUGCUGACAAGCCUGAGGAAGUUGCUGAUGGCAUUUUGAAGAAAUUCUUGGAGAAAGGGUUUGUUGAGCCUGAGAUCAAGAAACGUAGACUGGUUGGGUUCAGGACGCACUCAUUGAUUCGUUAUGCGGUUAUUUUUGUAGCUGAAAGAGUGGGGUUCUUCCAUUUUGAUUCAAUGGGGAAUCCCACGGGGAACUUUUCAACUAGUCAGAGGGCUUGUUUGAUCAAAACUGGAGAGAAAUAUUCUCGGCAGGCGCUGCUCGAUUUGGAGUCGAAACCAGAGACACUGCACGCUUUGUUCAAUGUCAACGAUCCUUAUCCAGAUUUAAACACAGAAUGGUUCUCCAGGAUGAGAAACAUUAAUGUUCUUUGCUUGGGAAGGUGGGAGAACUCAUCUAAGAAGAACGAUGAAGCAGAGACCAAUGAAGCAGAGGAGACCAAGCAUGAUGUUGAAGCGGAGAGCACCGAAUUCUUGAAGGGAUUGAGGAACAUGAAGCAGCAGCAUCAUGUUGAAGUGGAGAGCACUGAAUUCUUGAAGGGGUUGAGGAACAUGAAGCAUCUGAAGUUUCUCAGUCUGCAAGGAAUCUCUAGGAUCAACGAGCUUCCUGAAACCAUCCAGAAGCUUGUCAAUCUAAAGAUUUUGGAUCUUAAUUCUUGCCACAAUCUGGAGGCAAUUCCAGAGAAUAUUGUGUCGCUCCAGAAGCUGACACACUUGGACAUUUCUGAGUGCUACAUGCUGGAUUACAUGCCCAAGGGGUUUGGGUCACUUACUGAACUCCAAGUCCUUAAGGGGUUUGUAAUUAGUAAUCUGAAAAUAAAAAAUGCAGGAACUCUUGAUGAUUUAAAAGGAUUGCCAAAGUUGAGGAAACUGAGCAUCUAUACAACCAAGAAAGAUUUCCCUAGAGUUCAAGACCUGAAAGCGCUAAGGCAUAUCACAGCGCUUCAGAAGCUAACAAUUGAAUGGGGAGGGAAAUCCCGUGUCAAAAAAAAGGAAAUUAGAAAUGACUCGAGAAGACUGAGAAGGAUCGAUGCCUUUAGACAAGAGAACAUCACUGCAGUGAUUCCUGACCUUCCUGAACAUUUGGUGAAGCUGGAUCUUCAGUGUUACCCUGAGACUAAGGCUCCUGAGUGGCUGUCACCUCUCAGACUGAAAAAUCUUCAGAAACUCUACAUCAGAGGUGGGCAUCUCAGUGCUCUGGGUCAAGCUCAGGGUGGAAAUCAAAAGUGGAAUGUCAAGAUACUGCGUCUCAAAUUUUUGAAAGAACUAAAGAUGGAUUGGAGAGCACUGCAUGAUGCAUUUCCGCAUUUGAUUUACUUGGAGAAAUUUAAAUGUCCUAAACUGACUUUCUUCCCUUGUGAUGGCACCGGAGUGUGGCUGGACAGAGAAAAGCUAGCAAACCAGCCGUUGGAAGAAUUAGGAUUGACAUGGUCUUUCCUUUCCAAAAGUUCUACUUGAGUUCAAAGUAUGUUCUACAUUUCAGGCAUGUAUUUUUAAUUUCGAUUCCGUUCUUCAUUUCAUUACAUCUGCAAGGUUGUUUUCUGUAUGUAAAAGAAAGAGAGUCUGAGUAUAUUUGAGCUCCAAAAAUAUCAUUUCCAUUCAAUGAUUUUAUAUUUUGAUUUUUGGAGGCUGUCCCAUAAAUUCUGAUAUGAACUGUCAUGGAACUCUGAAGACUUGAAUUUUGAUGCACUCCAUGAUCAUAGGAUUUGAUGGUCUACUUAUUUUUAAGCUUCGAAGGACCAAGUUAGCAGGGAAACUAGAGGGAUGAUUUAGUUUAGCCGUGAGGCCUCCAAUUCUCACAAACUGACCAUGCCAUUGCUAGGAGUUAGCAAGGGGCUGGAUUCGGCCGCCGGUAAUUUCAAAUAGGAAGUGAUAUCUAACAGAUAGGGUGGUUUCUGCCCACAAGACCAGUCCAGAAAAGAAUUCGCAGCGCCUAAUUAACAUGUAGAAUUAAGCUGUCUCAAAAUAUGCAGGCCAUUAAACAUCAGGGUAUGAACUGAUAAUUUGUUUGGAGUUCUGUCUACACUUGGAUGAUGAAAUUCAUGUGAAAUAUUUAUUUAAUUCCAUCAUGAAUGGUAGAAGAACUAAUACUUAAUUAUUCUGUCCCUA